CAUCACGCUCGGCAUACGUGCAGGAUUGUCAUUUUUAUUAAAUCAGUGGAAUAUAAUUGAGUGGAACAGGGAAUCUAACUAUAAUUCAACAUGUUGAAAAUCAUCUUUACCUAUAUUGUUUAUAUCGGGUUGAUAGCAGCCCGACACGUGGAAAAAGGUGCCAACGCAACCUAUCCGAAUGAAGAAGUACCGAAACCAACUGAACCAGACGGAUCCCAAUCUACUUUCCAUGAAGGAAGGAUAGCCAUUACAGUUGGGUGUGUUGUGGUAAUUUCCGUUGUGAUCGGCUUCAUGUUCCUGUGGGUGUUUGGUGACUAUAUCUAUCGAAAACUGAAGACUUGGUUUCAACCACCUGUGUAUGUGUAAAAGUUUUUAAACUGAUGCAUACGACAAAAACGACAAUUGGAAUGGAUAUGGAAAAGGAUUCUCUUACACUGAAACCCAUGCUUGGACAAGAUACCCUAUGGAAUGUUGUGCUAUUUAUCAUUAUAACAAGUCAUUCAAAUAGAUUGUGUACAUAUUGUGUGUUUCAAAAACUAUAAAACCAAAGUUUUAGUCAUAUUUCGUUCGUUUUCUAUUGAAAUAUUAUUCAAAUACUUUUACAAAUAUA